GGGCGCGCUGAGGCGGGACUCCACAGGAAUGGCCGGAACUCGCAAACAGCCCCGGGAGCCUCGUAGGGCGUAGCCGGGGCUCGCUGGAGCCUUUCCGGUGUGCGGGAGCCAGCCGAGCCGCAGGAGGGACGGAGCGGGGCCGGGCGGAGGCACAGCCCCGCAGCCACAGCCCCACAGCCGGCCGGGCUCAGAGGUGGAUAACGAGAGGGGCGAGGGGCCAGGCAGAGCCGAGCGGUGUCCUGGCCCGAGAGAUGUAUGUGCUAAUUAGCAGGGCAGUUAAUAGAGCAGACAGGGAGCUGUGCUUGCUGCUCCCCGGAGAACUCGGGAGAAGGAGCCCCCAGGGCUGCAGUGUCAGGAUCAGAGGCAGGAACAAAAAAGAAUCCACAGGAAGUCAAGCGAGGAGGAAUUCCUUCUUUCCAGGAACAAAUAAAGGAAGAUAUCAGGUCUGUUAUUCAGAGAAGAAAGACUAAUCCAGACUAAGCAGGAAAAGCUGUUGAGGGUAAAAGAGUUCAUUUGAUUUUUGUUGAGUGUGGGUGGUUCUGGGGCAGAGCAGGUGCACCUGGAGACAAUAAAUGCAGAUUUAGCUCAAGGCCUCUAAGUGACUCUGAGCCUCAUCAGCUGCUUGUGCUGUGGGUUUAAAAGGACAAAAGUGGCUUUUACUGGGAUUUAUCCAUGGGGAUCUCAGCAGUUACCAGAAAGGACCUAAAACUGGGAGUCCUGCUGCUUCUCUCUGGGAAGGUGGCAGAUACCAAUCAAAAUCUUCAUGGAAAAAGAAGAAUUAAUCAUGGGGCAAGGACGAUGAUUGCAUUGUAAAGAAUUUUCCAAGCCCCCCUUCCAGACUCUGCCUCUUUAGCUCCCAGUGGAGGUGCAACCCAUGCAGCUGAAGUUUCCUGCCCUGGGUGGAUCAGCUGUUUUGGCAGCAGCUGCAGAAAUUCAACCCCAAGAGUCUGUGGUGUGGGUUGUACAGCCCAGCCACCUCAGUGAGAUCUGUAGUGUGGGGUUAAACUGGGGAAAAACCCCACAACACCCCUUGCAUGCUGUUUGGCUGAGGGGUGUGUGCUUUUCUGUGUUUUUUUCAUAGAAAUAUUUAAGGGUUUUCCCUUUAUUUGGGAGGUUCCUUUAACAAGUCUUGUCAAUUAAUCAAUCAAUCCUGUAAAUUAUAUAUAUUAAGUAUAGAGGUAUAAGAAUAAAUGUUUAUUCAGCUUUUGGGAUUUUUAAAUCAAUUAAUUGCAUGUCUGGAAGCAAAACCCAAAUGCUUAUUUGGUUUGG